ensembl:lncRNA
GUGGAGGUGUGUGUGUGUGUGUGUGUGUGUGUGUGUGUGUGUGGAGGUGUGUGUGUGGAGGUGUGUGUGUGUGGAGGUGUGUGUGUGUGUGGAGGUGUGUGUGUGUGUGUGUGUGUGUGUGUGUGUGGAGGUGUGUGUGUGUGUGGAGGUGUGUGUGUGUGUGUGUGUGGAGGUGUGUGUGUGUGUGUGGGAGUGUGUGUGUGUGUGUGGAGGUGUGUGUGUGUGUGUGGUGGUGUGUGUGUGUGUGGAGGUGUGUGUGUGAGUGUGUGUGUGUGUGUGGAGGUGUGUGUGUGUGUGUGGAGGUGUGUGUGGAGGUGUGUGUGUGUGUGUGUGGAGGUGUGUGUGUGUGUGGAGGUGUGUGUGUGUGUGGAGGUGUGUGUGUGUGUGUGUGUGGAGAGUGUGUGUGUGUGGAGGUGUGUGUGUGUGUGUGUGUGUGUGGGGGUGUGUGUGUGUGUGUGUGUGUGUGGAGGUGUGUGUGUGUGUGUGUGUGUGGUGUGUGUGUGUGUGUGUGUGUGUGUGGAGGUGUGUGUGUGUGUGUGGGUGUGUGUGUGUGUGUGUGUGUGUGUGUGUGUGUGUGUGUGUGUGUGUGUGUGUGUGUGUGUGUGUGGAGGUGUGUGUGUGGAGGUGUGUGUGUGUGUGUGUGUGUG